AUCCAUGUAGCGCAAUGGAUAGUGCAUUGGACUUCUAAUCCAACAGUGUUGGGUUCAAAUCCCAUCUGGGAUG